rnacentral:tRNA from 1 species
CUCGGUAGCUUAGUUGGUAAAGCGCUCGUCUAGCAUACAAGUGUUCUGAGUUAAAAUCCCAGCCGAG